rnacentral:rRNA from 2 species
AGUCGAGCGACUGAUUAAAGCUUGCUUCUAUGACGUUAGCGGCGGACGGGUGAGUAACACGUGGGCAACCUGCCUGUAAGACUGGGAUAACUUCGGGAAACCGAAGCUAAUACCGGAUAGGAUCUUCUCCUUCAUGGGAGAUGAUUGAAAGAUGGUUUCGGCUAUCACUUACAGAUGGGCCCGCGGUGCAUUAGAUAGUUGGUGAGGUAACGGCUCACCAAGGCAACGAUGCAUAGCCGACCUGAGAGGGUGAUCGGCCACACUGGGAGUGAGACACGGCCCAGACUCCUACGGGAGGCAGCAGUAGGGAAUCUUCCGCAAUGGACGAAAGUCUGACGGAGCAACGCCGCGUGAGUGAUGAAGGCUUUCGGGUCGUAAAACUCUGUUGUUAGGGAAGAACAAGUACGAGAGUAACUGCUCGUACCUUGACGGUACCUAACCAGAA